rnacentral:sRNA from 1 species
CCACGUCAAACUGUUGUGGGGCGAUAAAGUGGAUAUGUGCAUCUAUUCCACCUGCAGUGACUAUUUUUCCUGCGCAGCCAUGCACAUCAGUGGAGGCUCCGAUUACCAUCCCCGGUGUUAUUCCUUCUUGGGUGUCGGGGUUACCUGCUUUGCCUAUACCUACUAUCCUACCAUUUUUGAUACCGAUAUCCGCUUUUACAAUACCCCAAUGAUCUACAAUGGUACAGCUGGUGAGGCAUAGAUCCAGUACAUCAGAUUCAGUGGCCGUAGUACUCUGCCCCAUUCCAUCCCUGAUGG